GGUGCGUUUGUGUGUCCAUGGGAGAAAGGCGGGGGGGAGGGAGGAGUGCAAGUUCCAGCCAGUGUUGUGUAGUAGUAGUAGUAGUAGGGAGUGUUGGAACUACGACUCUGGAGACCAAAGGUUAACUAUGUACAAACCCUUUGGGUGACCUUGGCCAAGUCACACUCUCUGGGCCUCAAGAGGGGAUGGCCAGGGCAAUGGCCAAAACCCUCUCUCUGAGGGAACUAACUGGCCAAGAAAACUUGCCCUAAGUCGGAAACGCCUGGAAGUCAACACCGCACACAACACACGUCAAGCUGAACGGCCCGAACUCCUGGAAUACAAGGUGGUGCGGCACAACAGGCAGACAAGAGUCUGGGUUCAAAUUCAAAUCCCAUCAACGACAGUUGUGCGGCCCUUAAGAAACUCACUGUUGUUCCUAGUCUAAGCGUUUUACUGGCCUGCCUCAGCAAUGCUGCACAUCCAACGUAUAACUUAAAACCAUGAUCUCUCCAUUGCUCUGCACCAACAGCUCAGUUCACUUAACAAUCUCUGUGUGGCAUCUUCAAGGGCCCGAAGGCACUGCUGUGGGGAGGAACAGUCAGCUUCAGUGAACACAAUUGCAUAUACCUUAAUCUAGAACCAAGCUAUUUUAUGCAAAGGAAAAGGAUGAAAGGAUAGGUGAAUUUAGAUCUUCCUCAAAUCAUUUCAACAUACAGCUCAGUUUUUGGAACUGCUGAAAGUCUUAGAUAUGCAAUCUGCAGAGAAAGGCUGCAUGGCUUUAGAGAUUUCCUUCCAAGAAAAUGUGUCAUCUUCAACUUAAAUUAUGUGUUUAAGAAUUAUUUCAUUGCUUCUUAUUUUAUUUGCAAUGUGUUUUUUAAGAGGUCUACUCAGAAGCAAAGCUUGUUGAGGUCAGUGGUACUCACCUGGUACUCUUAGGUAAGUGCGUGCCGUACUAAAAGCCUUGCUGAGGGAGUUUACUCUGACUUGGAACAAGAAACUCCAUAAAAGGGGAAGUCACUUUUAAACGUUGCAGUAUGUUUUUUCUUUUAAUACGAGUGUCUGUUCAACCGAGAUGAUAAAGGCUUGCAUGUCCAUUUGGUAUAUAUUAGCGGAGAACUUAACUGCAGCUUAACAUAUUGUUCAUUUUCAACACUGUCACGUUGCACUCAUAUAGAGCACAUUUUAAUUUCUUGAUCAGUAAUCAAAUGGAAGUUUCUUUUGGCAAAUCGAAACGGGGGAAUUUUGUGCUGAAGAAAGAACAUGGGAAUAUGACGCCACCUUUUGGUAUAAAAAGUAAAUAGAUGUAUCUUCCAGAGAAAAGACUUCUGAUGUGCAAUUACACUUUCAAUUGCAGUAA